rnacentral:rRNA from 1 species
AGGGAAUUUUCGGCAAUGGGGGAAACCCUGACCGAGCAACGCCGCGUGAAGGAAGAAGGUUUUCGGAUUGUAAACUUCUGUUAUAAAGGAAGAACGGCGGCUACAGGAAAUGGUAGCCGAGUGACGGUACGUUAUUAGAAAGCCACGGCUAACUACGUGCCAGCAGCCGCGGUAAUACGUAGGUGGCAAGCGUUAUCCGGAAUUAUUGGGCGUAAAGAGGGAGCAGGCGGCAGCAAGGGUCUGUGGUGAAAGCCUGAAGCUUAACUUCAGUAAGCCAUAGAAACCAGGCAGCUAGAGUGCAGGAGAGGAUCGUGGAAUUCCAUGUGUAGCGGUGAAAUGCGUAGAUAUAUGGAGGAACACCAGUGGCGAAGGCGACGAUCUGGCCUGCAACUGACGCUCAGUCCCGAAAGCGUGGGGAGCAAAUAGG